UACGUAGGGGGCAAGCGUUGUCCGGAAUCAUUGGGCGUAAAGCGCGCGUAGGCGGCCCGAUAAGUCCGCUGUAAAGUCAACGGCUCAACUGUUGAACGCCGGUGGAUACUGUCGGGCUAGAGUGCGGAAGAGGCGAGUGGAAUUCCUGGUGUAGCGGUGAAAUGCGCCAGAGUAUCAGGAGGAACACCGGUGGCGAAGGCGGGUCUCUGGGCCGAUACUGACGCUGGAGGAGCGAAAGCGUGGGGAGCGAACAGG
rnacentral:rRNA from 1 species